rnacentral:rRNA from 1 species
GACGAACGCUGGCGGCGUGCUUAACACAUGCAAGUCGAACGGAAAGGCCCUGCUUUUGUGGGUUGCUCGAGUGGCGAACGGGUGAGUAACACGUGAGUAACCUGCCCUUGCCUUUGGGAUAACUUCAGGAAACUGGGGCUAAUACCGGAUAGGAGCUCCUGCUCCUUGGUGGGGGUUGGAAAGUUUCGGCGGUUGGGGAUGGACUCGCGGCUUUUCAGCUUGUUGGUGGGGUAGUGGCUUACCAAGGCUUUGACGGGUAGCCGGCCUGAGAGGGUGACCGGCCACAUUGGGACUGAGAUACGGCCCAGACUCAUACGGGAGGCAGCAGUGGGGAAUAUUGCACAAUGGGCGGAAGCCUGAUGCAGCAACGCCGCGUGCGGGAUGACGGCCUUCGGGUUGUAAACCGCUUUCGCCUGUGACGAAGCGUGAGUGACGGUAAUGGGUAAAGAAGCACCGGCUAACUACGUG